GAGUUUGAUCAUGGCUCAGAUUGAACGCUGGCGGCAGGCUUAACACAUGCAAGUCGAACGAACUAUUGGGGCUUGCUCUAAUAGUUAGUGGCGAACGGGUGAGUAAUGCCUAGGAAUCUGCCUUAUAGUGGGGGAUAACGUUUCGAAAGGAACGCUAAUACCGCAUACGUCCUACGGGAGAAAGGGGGCAUUUAUGCUCUCGCUAUUAGAUGAGCCUAGGUCAGAUUAGCUAGUUGGUAGGGUAAAGGCCUACCAAGGCUACGAUCUGUAGCGGGUCUGAGAGGAUGAUCCGCCACACUGGAACUGAGACACGGUCCAGACUCCUACGGG
rnacentral:rRNA from 1 species